GCGGCAGCAUCCCUUAGUCUCCGGCCCUGGGAGGGGGAAGGGAAAAGACGGAGCCGUGGAGGGAAGAGGGAGCCAUUUCUCUCCCCGGGCUGCAACCUCCGUGGUCACAGCUCACGUUUGCCCGGAAUCCAGAGGCUUCCCCAGCCAAGGACUCCAUAAUGCUGGAUAUUUUCAUCCUGAUGUUCUUUGCCAUCAUAGGCCUGGUCAUUCUGUCCUACAUUAUCUAUCUGCUCUAGGGGCCUGCAGCUGCGGCGGGGAGCCCACUGAACCCAGCUCAGGAUGAAGCUGACCGCCCGAGCAUCCUGCUUUGCUGACGCACCGGUGGAUAUUUGCUUCUGGUCGUUAUUCCGGCUCCUGGUCUCCAGCCCAACCAGAGGCCUCUUAGCAGCAGCACCGGUCCUGCUACACGGCAGACCUCUUCCAGAGCCUUCCGGAUAUGGUUAACCACUGUCGAGCAAGGGGCUUUUUGAGCUCCGACGCAGAGGCCCUCCAUGGGGACCUCAGGAAUUCGUGGGCACGCCUGGCAGAUGCUGUGUGCAUUCGAGCUGUGGAUAGAGGGUGUUGAGGACACCUAGCUGAAAUGUAGACUCAUUAAAGUUACCAUGGAGAACUGCUCAGAUACUCAUCGUGACAGCCUUUCUUUAGGUGUAAAUACAACAGAUGAUGCUAAAAUAUUUCUUUCCUUUCCCUCCCGCAGGCAAGGGGGCCCCUUGUAAGUUCAAGAGCACAUUGUCUAUCUUCAUCUCUGAAGUAGUCACUUUGACACUGUCUUUACAGACCGCAGUGUGAGCUCGUGUGGUGGCCCUUGUCUUGCUCCCCAGCAAGAAGGAAAUUGUCGUUUGAAUUUUUAAGAUUUAUCAUUUUUCCCCCCCACUCCAUACCAUUUGUGGCCCAGCUUCUCAUUUCAAGAGAGAAAUAGUUAUAUAUAUAGUCCUCAUUCUUUGUGACUGGCUGAAUUAUAAAUUGUUGAAAUAGGGUAGCUAUACCUCAUCUUACUUGUUAUUGGGGGAGAAAAUCUGUCUCUUACUCCCAAAUAAAUGUCUUUUAUAUUGUCAAAUGUUCCUCGUCUGGGGGGGAAAAAAACCUUGCAACAUAUAUAUAUUUUUUGAAGGGGUCCGAUUAGGGUUGAAGGAACCAUAUAUUGUGGAAUCCAGAGUAGAUGUGGGCCCCAAAUCUGUGGUUCCUGUUCCCGUGAAAAGUCCAUCGUAAUUGUUCUACGUUUGACUUUCCUUUCUAGCUUACAAAUAAACAAGGAGAAAGAUUAACUUAA